UACGUAGGUGGCAAGCGUUGUCCGGAAUUAUUGGGCGUAAAGCGCGCGCAGGCGGUCCUUUAAGUCUGAUGUGAAAGCCCACGGCUCAACCGUGGAAGGCCAUUGGAAACUGGGGGACUUGAGUGCAGAAGAGGAAAGCGGAAUUCCAAGUGUAGCGGUGAAAUGCGUAGAGAUUUGGAGGAACACCAGUGGCGAAGGCGGCUUUCUGGUCUGUAACUGACGCUGAGGCGCGAAAGCGUGGGGAGCAAACAGG
rnacentral:rRNA from 1 species